rnacentral:lncRNA from 1 species
AUGCGACCGGUGCCUGAAUCCCCGCCGAGCCGCAGGAAUUCCCUCCCGUGCACCAGCCUGCCUGCGCUGUGCGGGGCCGCGGGAGCGAGGCCGAGCCGCGGGAUGCCCCAGUCCCCGGCAAAUUGUCUCAAGCUUUUGGAAAUUGCAGGGCUCUGUCUCCGGAUCGGGUUUCUUGGCCGCUGGCGCUGCUGUUUCUUGGAAAUUCGGCUUGCCUCGGCAUUUUCCAUGGCGGGCCGGGGGGCAGGGGCCCAUGGUCUCUUCCCGUCCUUGCUCCCCGUGCCUGUUCCCGUCCCCCUGGGCACGGCCAGGAUGGGGCCCAGUGCUGAGGAGCUCGGGUUUCUGCUCCAGGGGCUGCCAGCACGGGCUGGAGGCAACUUCGCCCCCUUUGCAGAGCUCCAGGCCAUCGGCACUGGGGAGAAUUUGGCGGAGCUGGGCAAGAAACCAGCCCUGAGCCCGCACCCAGCGCUGGGGGAGCAGGAUCCGGACUGGGAUGGGGUCUCUGCACUGGGGCCAGCAGGGUCCCUGUGUGCCAUCAGCCUGGGGACAACCUGCUGGAGGGGGAAACUGAGACACGGGAGGAGCAGCGCAAGGGAUGGCUGCCAGCCCCAAAGUGACCCACAGCUGAAUUUGGGGGUGCUGGGAGCUGCUGGCUGUGCCGGCAUCACCAGGGGGGGAGAGGAAGGGGUGAGGCUGCCCCUGGAGACCCCUCAAUGCCCACCACAAGGUUCACAAACCCUGCUCCUGCUCCUGCUCCUGCUCGCGCCUGGCGUUUGGCACUGCCGGCAGGCCUUGAAUGGCGAAGAUCUCCGGGUGAAUAAUUGUCCAAUAAAAAGGAAUUAUAAAAGUUUCGUUAUGUUUCAUAGCCACUUGCUUUAAUUAGCCUUAAUUACUCCAGUAGGUGACUCGCAGACGAAUCGAGCGCCCUGUCCCCGCAUCCCGGGGGCUGUCGGCUGGAUAAAUGGCAGAGCCCGGGCGCGCCUCAGACGCGGCGCUCGCUUGGUUUGCCCGCGACAGCUUAUUUACUGUGGGCUGAAUAAAUAUCAGUUGUU